rnacentral:misc_RNA from 1 species
AUCAAAUUCUCCCCAAGUCUCCCUCCUCUCGCCCCGAUUCUGACACCCACUGUCUUCAAAUUCUACGGCGAUCUUCGAUCAGAGGUGCUCAAUAUGGCUUCAUUCAGAGCGUUCUUGAACAGUCCGGUUGGUCCAAAAACGACCCAUUUCUGGGGACCUAUUGCCAACUGGGGAUUUGUUGCUGCUGUAUGCCUUACCGCCGUGUUUUAGAUUAUACAGAAUACUCCUUCUUAAUAUAAAUACUCUUGAUUAUAAAAUUCUAGUUCUGUGCUUUUAUGACCUUAUUACAAUUCCAUCUGGCUCAUUGAACAGGGCUUGGCAGACAUGAAAAAACCACCAGAAAUGAUUUCUGGAAAUAUGACUGGAGUUAUGUGUGUUUAUUCAGCAUUGUUCAUGAGGUUUGCAUGGAUGGUACAACCUCGCAACUAUCUACUUCUAGCUUGUCAUGCUUCAAACGAGACUGUGCAACUGUAUCAACUCUCCCGUUGGGCAAAGGGCCAGGGGUGAGUGGCUUGGCAUGUGAUUUGUGUUAAGUUGCCCUAUAUUCAUUAUACGCCCUCAUCAUUCUGCUGGAAUUUGAAGUAAAAUUAAAAAUUAAUAUGGAUAUUUCCCACUUAUUGUCCAGCCAAAGAAAGUUUCUUUUAGGUUACAUCGUGAUAGGCCAGUCAUUUGGCAUAUUUUCAUGAACUGUUAAAGAGUUCAUAGUCUAAAAAGGGCAAGACCUCCACUAUUCCACUACUAGAUAAUAAGCUCUUUUGAAAUGCUGCCACACUUUGUAAUGCUUGAGAAAAUUUUAUUUCCCUGUUUAAAAGUUUUUGUCAUUAAUAGUGAAAGAGGUCUUUGAUAAUCAGAAAAUAAAAUAAAAUAAAUAUUUGAAAUCAAUAAAUGAUACUUUAAAUGUCAUUAGAUGAAGGCUAUCAGUUCAAAUUUAAUGUGGUAUGUGUAAACCUUUUCCUUUCGUUUCCCUCAUGCAAACUGAUGCUAGAUCCCUUUUUCUCAGCAUCUUAGAAAUCUUAUGUUUCAAGACAUAGUGGGCGUCCUAGUUACCUUUUAGUAGAUUUUUUUUUUCUUUUGAGAAAACAGGAAGGGGUUUCAGACGUGUAAUAUCAAUUUAUUGCUAGGUGAAUUUGCAAAUAUGAGCUGAGCUUCAAAAAUAACCACUCGUGCUCCAAUGUCUCAUUUUUAGUUCCAAUUAUGGCCACUAUUUUUUAAGUUAAGGCCAUAAUUGCAAAUCUGAAUUAAGUUUCAUACAUUUUUGAAGGCAUUGGCCCUUUGAAUUUUGUCUUGGUUUUCUAUCACUUGCAGUUGAUCUAUUGGUGACAAUUGAUCCCACAAACAAAUACUCUAUUAAUUAAGCAUUAUUUAUCUUCUUAUUCCUCAACAUAGGUACCUAUCAUCAGAGACAGAGAAAAAAGAGGGAGCCUCAGAUUAACUCAAUGCUGCUUCUUUUGCUGCCCAGUUUUACUGGGAUUCUUAUUUGGAUUUGUGGAGAAACUUAUGUUAAUUUCGUUUGUUACCUUUUGAAAGAACUUGCAUUUCAUUGUACUAG